UUAAUGUUUCAAUGGAACCCAACAAAAUCAUACAAUUAUUUAAUACAGAAUACAUUUCACCAAAAUCAAGGUUUCAUUAUUAUUGGCACUCCUCACUUCGUACUUAGUGCCACUAGUGCCAAAGAUAACAGCGUGGUCUUUUCCUGUAAUGUUUGACAAGGUUAAGGAACACAUUUGGAGGGAUUUUGGACCAUUCCUCAAUGCAGAUCCUUUCAAGAUCGUUCACAUUCUUGGGUUUGCACUUAUCAACUUCCCUCUUCAACUCAGCCCACAGGUUUUCACUUAUCAACUUCCCUCUUCAACUCAGCCCACAGGUUUUCAUUUAUCAACUUCCCUCUUCAACUCAGCCCACAGGUUUUCACUUAUCAACUUCCCUCUUCAACUCAGCCCACAGGUUUGCACUUAUCAACUUCCCUCUUCAACUCAGCCCACAGGUUUUCACUUAUCAACUUCCCUCUUCAACUCAGCCCACAGGUUUUCACUUAUCAACUUCCCUCUUCAACUCAGCCCACAGGUUUUCACUUAUCAACUUCCCUCUUCAACUCAGCCCACAGGUUUUCACUUAUCAACUUCCCUCUUCAACUCAGCCCACAGGUUUUCACUUAUCAACUUCCCUCUUCAACUCAGCCCACAGGUUUUCACUUAUCAACUUCCCUCUUCAACUCAGCCCACAGGUUUGCACUUAUCAACUUCCCUCUUCAACUCAGCCCACAGGUUUUCACUUAUCAACUUCCCUCUUCAACUCAGCCCACAGGUUUUCACUUAUCAACUUCCCUCUUCA